AGGGGUAUAGUUCAAUUGGUAGAACGGCGGACUUCAAAUCCGCGUGUUGUGGGUUCGAGUCCUGCUACCCCUG
rfam:Mycoplasma sp. (ex Biomphalaria glabrata), complete genome.